rnacentral:tRNA from 1 species
GGCAUGAUGGCUCAGUGGUUAGAGCGCCCGCCUCAUGAACGGGGGUCGUGGGUUC